CAAAAAAAUCUGUUUCUUAAAGUGAGGUUUUACCUGGAUGCCCAUUGGCUGGGGAAGGGAGUAUCUAUUUCCUAGUUGGUGGGCACCUAGAUGUAGACAUGUUUGUACAUGUAUGUAAUAUGGACUUGUGUUUGUUGAUAGAUAUGUGGAGUUAACUGUGGCUAGAGUCCAAAACAUUUUGAGUGGGAAAAAACAAAUUAUAGAGUGUUAAGUGGUUUUUUUUUUUUUUUUUUUUUUUUCCUGCACAAAAACCACACCUGUCCACAAGGGCUUGUCCACCAGGCCAUGGCCAGAUGGGCCACCAUGCAAAACAGUUUUGGAGCACCUUCUGAAUUUCCUUGAGUUCAUGGAAUGUUUCCUUCAAAAUAACACUUUUUUUAUUGUUACUAUUAUAAAAGCAAUGCUUGUUUGUUGUAAAUUUGUAAACUCUAGGAAAGUAUAAAGAAAACAAUUUAAACUAGUCCCAAAUUUGACCAUCCAGAGGUAGUUACCACCAGCAUCCCGGCCAUUUGUAGGCCAUUUCUGUGUGCAUAUACAUGACUGUAUCUCCAUGCACACAUGUAUACACGUGUGUAUACAUAUAUGCACACAUACUCCUAGAUAUUCUUUCACUUAACAGUAUUUUUCUGUACUGCUAAAUGUUCUUCGAUGAGACUUGGAAUGAUUGACUUGUGACCCACUUCUUGGACAUUUCCCAACUCCUCACUGAUAGAAACACGGCUUCACUGGGCCGGUCAUUACCUUGGGACUCAUUCCUAGGACUGUUGAGCUAAAAGGUCUGAGCUUGGUCAAGCCCUUGGGAGGAACACUCUCUGAUGAUCAUGGACAGUGGGGAAUUGUUGACCAAGAGACUGGACAAAGGUGAGUAGAUGCUACAGUCAGUAAAGCAGGGAAAAUCCAUUACUAAAGUCACCUUAACUGGCGAUCUCUUCUUUUCAAAAAUCUAACACGUGCUAGAGAAAUGAAAGGCUCCCUGGCCACCACUGCCCUCCCCAGGGAGGGGAGCAUGGGUCUUCCCACAUUACUUAGCUCCUGUAUCUGGACGCACUCCUCCCCCGACACUUGAGAACAAGGCCAGUUUGUGUGUGUGUGUGUGUGUGGUGUGUGUGUGCGCGCGCGCGUGCAGGUACUUCUGACUUUUUUGGCUCUGGAAUUUGUUUUUCCUGCUUAGUGUUCUGAACUCCUUCCUCUUCACUGCUGAACGGUCUCCAUGAAGCCACAUUUCGUCAUCCCCAGGUUGAUUGGCAUCUAGGGCAAAUUUAACUUCUAAAGACUAACUCUUAUGAGGUGUCAUGGUCAAGAGGAGGCCAUGGCCAGCGCUGGUCUAGGUGGCUCAUGGCCUGCUUGGGGGCCUUGGUGGGUCUCAAGGAAGGGCAGGAGCUGGUCGGGGAGCCAGGUCGCUGGGCGGGAGGUAGGAGGCUAUCAACCCAGUCCAUGCUGCUGGGGUGCCUGGCCUGAUGAAGGCUGCAACUGUGGGAGCCAGGAGCAGCAGUGCAGGCUGGCCGGCCCCCCUAGCCCACCACAAGCGGGAGCUUCAGGGACAGAAGGGCACUCUGCCCUCCAGAGCCUGGAGCUUAGGGAAUGCAGCCCCCCUCACUCCUUUCUGCAUUUGAGUGGAAGCCAGUGUGCGAAGCAAAUCAAAGUGGGAUGUGCUUGUUUUUCCUUCAAUAAGGGACAGGGAGUUGAGCCUGUCCCAACAUGGCCAGCAGCCCCUGGAGGGCUAACAAACUUCAUGGGGAAGGAAGGCCGGGAGGUGACCUGCUGACCAGACCUUGCUUGUGGGCCCCCUCAACACUCUGGUUUUCACGGCCCACCCCACCCACCUGGAACAAAGAUGGGGUCUGGGGGUAUAUGGGGUCUGGGGUUAGCCCUCAGGUCGGCUGUGCAGCCUUUCAGACCUGGGAUGAGGCCAGCCUCCCCAGAUGAGGCAGCCUGGGCCACAGGGGAACAUCCCUGCCUCGCCCACCCUCCUGAUCUCUCCCAGACAAGCCAAGGCCAGCCAGGCUGCACCCUGACAGGGUGAGACAGACUGAGAGUAUGUGAGGUAAUUGGCCCCUCUACUUUUUCCAGUAAGUAAUUAAGAUCAAAAGCCCAGACAGUCACAACAGAGGUUUGGGGAGAAGUGGCCAAUGUUGGGCCCAGGGUCCAUGCUGAAGGCUGGAAGCCCAUCCUGGAUAUGCUGCACGUGGCGUUCCCAGCGUCACUGCAGGGCCCAGCCCUUGCCGGGGUCUGAGCUGUCCGGCCCCCUGUGGUGUCUGCCCCCUUCCAAGCCCGCCCCAGCUCCCAGUAUCUCACUUGGAGAGACAGACCCUCAUGGUCCCCACUCUGGCCCAUCCCCCUCCACAAACAGCUGGCCAACCUCGGGGCCUCUGUGCUGUGGCCUGGGGAUGGCAGGGCCUUUGGGAUGUCUCUGUUCAUGUGGUCACAGGCCAUGAGAGUGGCAGCAGGGCCAGGGUGAGGUGGGGUGCUGUUCCCAGACCCAGAACCAUUCUGCAGGAAACCGGCAGAGCGCUGCGGGAAAAGGGGUCAUGGGGACCACAGGCCACACAGGCGUGCUUUGAAAGACGGCAUUUAAGGUCAAAGAGCAGGAAGUCCACAGGAUGGGGGCCAAGGCCAAGGCUCCCACUGGCCAUGGGGAAGCUGCCUGCAGGGGAAUCCCAGGGACUGAAGUGGGAGUUGUCCCAAGUCACUUCAGGUCCAGUUGGGACAAAAGAGGUAACCGCUUAUCUCCUCCUGGGGUAGCUUCUUUGAGUCCUAAAUGUGGACUCAGAGGUGGAAACGGUCUGUGCCCCGCCAGGUCCUGCAGACAUCCGCUUUGUCUGGGAGAAGAAUGGGCGAGCUCUGGAGACCUGUGUCCCUGUGCAGACCCAUGCACUGCCCGACGGCAGGGCCCAUGCGCUCAGCUGGCUGCAGGACGCCAUCCGGGAAAGCGCCGAAUAUCGCUGCUCUGUCCUCUCCUCAGCAGGGAACAAGACUUCGAAGGUGCAGGUUGCUGUGAUGAGACCUGAAGCGACCCACCAGGAGAAGUGGACCAGAGAGCUCUCCGCCUGGAGGGCUGUGGCUGGGGAGCACGACCGGAUGAUGCAGAGCUGGAGGAAGGCGUGGGAAAGCUGUAGCAAGGACACCUUGUAAACACCGGGAAGCAGACCCUGCCGCCACUGACUACAGCCACCCCUGGAGAAGGCCUGGGCCCCCACAGCAGUGAGCCGUCUUACCUAAGCCUGCUCUGAGCACAGCCGUUGGGCCACCGCCUGACGGGGACCUCCCAAAGGCGGGACAGUGGAGACGCACUGGACCCGAGUGAGCCUGUGACAGGAACCAAGACUUAAAAAAUAAGUUGCUCACCUGGGACAGGACGUUCUGUCUGGCAUAGGCAGGUGGCUAGGAUGGCCGACAGGCUUCGACAGCCACUCUCUUGAACUAAAACAAGUGUGUGUGUGCAGGCUCCUCUAGGGACAGGCAGCAGGCUCUGAGGGCCGAUCUUACACUGCCCUAGUGACCCCUUUACAGAGCACCCCCACCCCUAACAGUCAACAGCGUGAGCAUGGCCAGCACAGAUCGCUGCUUUUAUUGAUGCAGAUCAAGCCUGCCGCUUCUCCCACCUGCAGACUUAGCCAAGGAACUCUUAAGAUGCAUGACCGGGACAAGAGAAGGUGAGACUCCACAUGAAAAUGCCUUGCUUUAAACCUUGAGUGACUGUGAGAUGCGAUCUGGGAGUGCAUCUGUCAAGUCUUUGUUUUCUUCACUAACCUCAAAAUACCGGGCUCUAUUUUAUCAAGCGCUGCAGUUUAAGCCUCUGAGUGUAUCCCCCAUCAAUACUCAGCUUCUGCAACAAGACACUGAGCUUGACGCAGAAAACCAAACAGGUCAAUUAUGCAAAUCUGGUGCCACAUUAAAUUUCCUGACGAUGGAA